CAAUAGCUAGUGUACAUUAAAUUUUUUUUUUUUUUUGGGUUUUCCAAGGUAUCCCUACAGCCGCAGCCAUGAGAUUAAUCCUCCGUUCCUAUGAUCAGCACACACUAAGCGGUAGGAAACUGUCCACAAUUUUUUUUUCAUUUAUUAGAGGUGGGAUCGAACCCCCAACCUCUUAGUUACGGGGUGAAUUGCUAACCACCACACCAUUAUUUACAGGUAUAAUGAUAUAUGUAUUACUUAAAACUGACUAAUUUCAAAUACCUCAACAUAGAAAAACUGAAAACUGCAAACAGAAGUAAUAAAAGAUUUUCUCUCUGUUACUAUUUUCCUUAUAAAUAUAUGGUCACCUAACAAUUCUUUCUCACCAUUCUUUUCCUCAAAAUAUAAUAUUAGAUCAAAGAAAGAAAGCUUCUCUAUGGCUGCCAAUUCUCUGAAACUAUUUGCCACUCUCUCUCUUCUCUUUAUGCUCCUCUUUGCCACUGAAAUGGGAGUGACAGAGGGGAGGACAUGCAAAUCAAACAGCAGGUUAUAUAGUGGACCGUGUUUCAACAACAACAACAACAGAAACGUCAACUGUAAUUUUAUUUGCAGUCGUUGCGAGGGCUUCCAAGCCGGAGGUUGCGAAAGUCGCAAUUGUGUGUGUAGGAGGAGCUGUUGAUUUUCCUAUAUCCAAAUAUGUAUGCAUGGUGGUUUUUUCUUUUUGCUUUUUUUUUUUUUUGAAAUUUGAAUCAAUAAGAAUGAAGUUCAAGUCUAGUUGAUUAAGAACAGGACUCCCAGUUCUUUAAUUAAUUAAGAUUGACUAUGUAAUAAAUAAGAGUUGCAUGGUUGUGUUCUUUAAUAUUAUGCAUGUGUGGAUGUAAUUUGAGAAGUUGUAUGCUUAUGCUUUGUCUCCAUUAUCCAUUCUCCGUUUGUCAUGAAAGGUGAAUAAAGUUGGAAGUUUAAUAA